rnacentral:rRNA from 1 species
GACGAACGCUGGCGGCGUGCUUAACACAUGCAAGUCGAACGGAAAGGCCCUGCUUUUGUGGGGUGCUCGAGUGGCGAACGGGUGAGUAACACGUGAGUAACCUGCCCUUGACUUUGGGAUAACUUCAGGAAACUGGGGCUAAUACCGGAUAGGAGCUCCUGCUGCAUGGUGGGGGUUGGAAAGUUUCGGCGGUUGGGGAUGGACUGGGGGCUUAUCAGCUUGUUGGUGGGGUAGUGGCUUACCAAGGCUUUGACGGGUAGCCGGCCUGAGAGGGUGACCAGGCACAUUGGGACUGAGAUACGGACCAGAGUCCUACGGGAGGCAGCAGUGGGGAAUAUUGCACAAUGGGCGGAAGCCUGAUGCAGAAACGCCGCGUGCGGGAUGAAGGCCUUCGGGGUGUAAACCGCUUUCGCCUGUGACGAAGCGGGAGUGACGGUAAUGGGUAAAGAAGCACCGGCUAACUACGUG